UGUCAGGUUCUUUCCCUAGGGUU
rnacentral:misc_RNA from 1 species